ensembl:snRNA U6 U6 spliceosomal RNA
UUGCUCACUUUGGCAGCAGAUAUAUCACAAGUGGAACAAUAUAGAGAUGAACAUGGCCCUAGAAUAAGAAUGACAUGCAUAUUCAUGAAGCAUUCCAUAUUUAG